rnacentral:rRNA from 1 species
AUUGAACGCUGGCGGCAGGCCUAACACAUGCAAGUCGAACGGUAACAGGAAGAAGCUUGCUUCUUUGCUGACGAGUGGCGGACGGGUGAGUAAUGUCUGGGAAACUGCCUGAUGGAGGGGGAUAACUACUGGAAACGGUAGCUAAUACCGCAUAACGUCGCAAGACCAAAGAGGGGGACCUUCGGGCCUCUUGCCAUCGGAUGUUCCCAGAUGGGAUUAGCUAGUAGGUGGGGUAACGGCUCACCUAGGCGCCGAUCCCUAGCUGGUCUGAGAGGAUGACCAGCCACACUGGAACUGAGACACGGUCCAGACUCCUACGGGAGGCAGCCGUGGGGAAUAUUGCACAAUGGGCGCAGGCCUGAUGCAGCCAUGCCGCGUGUAUGAAGAAGGCCUUCGGGUUGUAAAGUACUUUCAUCGGGGAGGAAGGGAGUAAAGUUAAUGCCUUUGCUCAUUGCCGUUACCCGCAGAAGAAGCACCGGCUAACUCCGUG